GAUGAACGCUGGCGGCGUGCCUAAUACAUGCAAGUCGAGCGAACAGAUAAGGAGCUUGCUCCUUUGACGUUAGCGGCGGACGGGUGAUUAACACGUGGUUAACCUCCCUAUAAGACUGGGAUAACUUCGGGAAACCGGAGCUAAUACCGGAUAACAGUUUGAACCGCAUGGUUCUAAAGUGAAAGAUUGUUUUGCUAUCACUUAUAGAUGGACCCGCGCCGUAUUAGCUAGUUGGUAAGGUAACGGCUUACCAAGGCGACGGUACGUAGCCGACCUGAGAGGGUGAUCGGCCACACUGGAACUGAGACACGGUCCAGACUCCUACGGGAGGCAGCCGUAGGGAAUCUUCCGCAAUGGACGAAAGCCUGACGGAGCAACGCCGCGUGAGUGAUGAAGGGUUUCGGCUCGUAAAACUCUGUUAUUAGGGAAGAACAAACGUGUAAGUAACUGUGCACGUCUUGACGGUACCUAAUCAGAAAGCCACGGCUAACUACGUG
rnacentral:rRNA from 1 species